rnacentral:rRNA from 1 species
AUGCCCUCCCGCCACCUCCAGGCCCAGCCACCAACCAUCCCCCCUCCCCCUCCUGCCACCCUCCACGCCGCCAGCAACCACCGCCACCUCCUCCUCGCGGCCACCGCCGCGGCCGCCACAGCAGUAGUACUCCUCCUCCUCCUCUUAUUCACCGUCCUCCUCGCGCUCCACCUCCGCCGCCGCCGCCGCCGCCCCACGCUGCCCUUCUCCCCGCCCGCGCGCCCGCUGCGCCGCUACUCCCGCCGCGCGCUGCGCCGCGCCACCGGCGGCUUCCACCCGUCCCGCCUCCUCGGCCGCGGCGCCGCCUCGCCGGUCUACCUCGCCACCUUCCCCGACGCCUCCCUCGCCGCCGUCAAGACCUGCUCCUCGCCGCACGAGCUCCACGUGCUCGCCUCCCUCCCGCCCGACUCCCCGCGCCUCGUCUCCCUCCUCGGGUACGCCGGCUCCGGCGCCGACGGCCGGCCCCUGCUCCUCGUCUUCGAGUACCUGCCGCAGGGGUCCCUCCAGGCCGCGCUCUUCGGGGACGACCGCUGCCUCGACUGGGCGCAGCGGCGAGGAGUCGUCCGCGACGUGGCGCGCGCACUGGCCUUCCUCCACGCCGAGUGCCAGCCGCCGGUCGUGCACGGGGACCUCAAGCCCAGCAACGUCCUCCUCGACGCCGACUUCCGCGCCAAGGUCGCCGACUUUGGCCUCGCGCGCUUCAAGACUCCCGAUGCCGUCGUCGACACUGGACCCGUCGCCGGCGGGGACGACUUCAUGAGCCAAGAACUCGGCGAGGCCUGCGACCUCGACCUCUCCACCGCUGCCUCCGCCAAGGAUGACCCUGGUCCGCCGGCUAGAGCGCCGGGAAAUGAGUGGUGGAUGAAGGUGAAGCAGGACGACAGCGACGAGCUCGACCCACGGGACUACGUGGCCGAGUGGAUCGGCAGCCAAAUCUGCCCGGAGAGGAACCCAGAUUGGGCCGACGACGGCGACCUCAAGAACUCACCCUCCGUCGCCGACGAGGACAAUAAGAACGCGGGCAAUGCCGACAGCAGCGCCAGCAAAGGAGCCGCGGGCGACAAGAAGGAGGCGACCCAGAUGCGGGAGUGGUGGAAGGAAGAGUUCUUCGAGGAGAUGAGCAAGAAAGCCGGCGGCACCGUCGACAAGCCGCGCCGGGGCGGCGCCGGCAAGCCGUGGCUGCGGUCGAGCAGCGUGAACACCGGCAAUGCCAACGGGGACGGCAACGCCAAACGGAGCGCUCUGGAGGACAUGAGCUUCCGGAGGAGCCGGAAGAGGAGCCGGCGGCACGGCCAGUCCGCCGGCAGCGGCGACGUGCACCACAGCGGCGACCUGUUCAGCCGGGAGCUGAGCACGACGACGAGCAUGCGCGGCACGGUGUGCUACGUGGCGCCGGAGGGCGACCCGCUGGAGAAGGCCGACGUGUACAGCUUCGGCGUGCUGGUGCUGGUGAUCCUGUCGGGCCGGCGGCCGCUCCACAUCCUCUCGUCGCCGAUGAAGCUGGAGAAGGCCAACCUGGUGAGCUGGUGCCGGCAGCUCGCGCGCGCGGGCAACGUGCUCGAGCUCAUGGACGAGCGGCUGGAGGGCGCCUACGACAGGGGCCAGGCCACGCUCUGCGCGCAGCUCGCGCUCAUGUGCCUGCAGCGCCAGCCGGAGCACCGCCCGGACAGCACGGACAUUGUCAAGAUCCUCACCGGGGAGAUGGAGCUGCCGCCGGCGCCCGUGGAGUUCUCGCCGUCGCCCCAACUCCGGCGGCCGUUCCCGCGGUCGUCGCACCGGGCGCAGCAGGACGCCACCGGGUGA